UCAAACUGAAACCGUCUAAAUUGAUAAUCACCUUCUUCAAUGAGCAAUUCAAUUCAUACCUUUAAGUCUUCAACCCCUCCAACUUCACUUAAAUCCAACCUAAUUGACACCAGCCUUCAAUUCGGCAAACCACAGGGAAAUCAAGCAAAUUAGACUUUAAUUUAUUCAAUGGAGCAUGCCUUCAAUUCGAUUUCGGUAUCCUCAUCACCCCUGGUCUUUUUAAUCCCAUCCCUUGGUUGUUCAUGCCAUAUUUUGAGCUGAACUUGAACAAAACAUAGCAAUAACCGGAAUAUCUAAAGCCACCAGCUAUGGAGUCUGUGCUCUCCUUCUAUUUGCCACCAUAAUUGAUUCUUUCAUCUCAACAUCCCAACGCAGUCAGAGGAGUCAGAGGAUGAGAGAGAGAUGUUUGCAAGAAGGUCUAUUGUACAAGUAUCUACAAGCAGGUUUCUCAAACCGAGGUCAAGAAUUUUUUUCGAAACAAGAUGCGGCGAGGAUAAAGCAAUGUGGUCUUAUGAUACUAGGGUGAAAAUCAUUAACGACCUUUCAAAGUUGCAAUUACCCAGGUGAAUUAGCCUCCAGAUACAAUAAAUCGACUGGCUGGAGUUAAUUAGCAAUCAAGUUGUCACCUUAU